rnacentral:lncRNA from 11 species
ACACACUCCCAAGAUACCAAGGUUGGAAGACUAUCGUCCUCGAAUGACGAGGGAUCGCCUAAGCAAUAUUGUCUUUUCCAGUGAUCCAUGUCUUCUUGUG